rnacentral:rRNA from 1 species
GACCUUCGGGCCUCUCGCGCUAAGAUUAGCCCAGGUGGGAUUAGCUAGUUGGUGAGGUAAAGGCUCACCAAGGCAACGAUCCCUAGCUGGUCUGAGAGGAUGAUCAGCCACACUGGAACUGAGACACGGUCCAGACUCCUACGGGAGGCAGCAGUGGGGAAUAUUGCACAAUGGGGGAAACCCUGAUGCAGCCAUGCCGCGUGUAUGAAGAAGGCCUUCGGGUUGUAAAGUACUUUCAGUCGUGAGGAAGAUUAUACAGUUAAUAGCUGUGUGACUUGACGUUAGCGACAGAAGAAGCACCGGCUAACUCCGUGCCAGCAGCCGCGGUAAUACGGAGGGUGCGAGCGUUAAUCGGAAUUACUGGGCGUAAAGCGCAUGCAGGCGGUCUGUUAAGCAAGAUGUGAAAGCCCGGGGCUCAACCUCGGAACCGCAUUUUGAACUGGCAGACUAGAGUCUUGUAGAGGGGGGUAGAAUUUCAGGUGUAGCGGUGAAAUGCGUAGAGGUCUG